GACGAACGCUGGCGGCGUGCCUAAUACAUGCAAGUAGGACGCAGUUGCGAACGGGUGAGUAACGCGUCGGUAACUGCCUAUUAGAGGGGGAUAACUAUUGGAAACGAUAGCUAAUACCGCCUACUAGUAGAUGGACCUGCGUUGUAUUAGCUAGUAGGUAGGGUAAUGGCCUACCUAGGCGACGAUACAUCACCGAACUGAAGGGGUGAACGGCCACACUGGGACUGAGAAAAGGCCCAGAAUCCUACGGGAGGCAGCAGUAGGGAAUCUUCGGCAAUGGGGGGAACCCUGACCGAGCAACGCCGCGGGAGUGAAGAAGGUUUUCGGAUCGUAAAGCUCUGUUGUUAAGGAAGCGGUACUUAACCAGAAAGGGACGGCUAACUACGUGCCAGCAGCCGCGGUAAUUC
rnacentral:rRNA from 1 species